UCCCUGGUGGCUCAGAGGUUAAAGCAUCUGCCUGCAAUGCAAGAGACCCAGGUUUGAUCCCUGGGUUGGGAA
rnacentral:tRNA from 1 species